GGCGCCGGUAGUCGAGGACUUUGCGGCGGGUUGCCGCCGACAGCGGGUUUUGGCGCAAAUUGAUGACCUGGGUUCUUUCCCGGCUGGCGUCG
rnacentral:tRNA from 1 species